rnacentral:rRNA from 1 species
CAGCUUGUUGGUGGGGUAACGGCCUACCAAGGCGACGACGGGUAGCCGGCCUGAGAGGGCGACCGGCCACACUGGGACUGAGACACGGCCCAGACUCCUACGGGAGGCAGCAGUGGGGAAUAUUGCGCAAUGGGCGAAAGCCUGACGCAGCGACGCCGCGUGCGGGAUGAAGGCCUUCGGGUUGUAAACCGCUUUCAGCAGGGACGAAGCGAAAGUGACGGUACCUGCAGAAGAAGCGCCGGCUAACUACGUGCCAGCAGCCGCGGUAACACGUAGGGCGCAAGCGUUGUCCGGAAUUAUUGGGCGUAAAGAGCUCGUAGGUGGCCCGCCACGUCUGCUGUGAAAAUCCAGGGCUUAACCCUGGACUUGCAGUGGAUACGGGCGGGCUAGAGGUAGGUAGGGGAGAAUGGAAUUCCCGGUGUAGCGGUGAAAUGCGCAGAUAUCGGGAGGAACACCGGUGGCGAAGGCGGUUCUCUGGGCCUUACCUGACACUGAGGAGCGAAAGCGUGGGGAGCGAACAGGAUUAGAUACCCUGGUAGUCCACGCCGUAAACGUUGGGCGCUAGGUGUGGGGUCCUUCCACGGAUUCCGUGCCGCAGCUAACGCAUUAAGCGCCCCGC